rnacentral:rRNA from 1 species
UACGAAGGGGCUAGCGUUGUUCGGAAUCAGUCUGGGCGUAAAGCGCACGUAGGCGGAUUGUUAAGUCAGAGGUGAAAUGCCAAGGCUCAACCUUGGAACUGCCUUUGAUACUGGCAAUCUCGAGUCCGGGAGAGGUGAGUGGAACUGCGAGUGUAGAGGUGAAAUUCGUAGAUAUUCGCAAGAACACCAGUGGCGAAGGCGGCUCACUGGCCCGGUACUGACGCUGAGGUGCGAAAGCGUGGGAGCAAACAGG